rnacentral:rRNA from 1 species
UACGAAGGGGGCUAGCGUUGUUCGGAAUUACUGGGCGUAAAGCGCACGCAGGCGGAUUGAUAAGUCAGGGGUGAAAUCCCGGGGCUCAACCUCGGAAUUGCCUUUGAUACUGUCUGUCUUCGAGUUCGGGAGAGGUUGGCGGAAUUCCUAGUGUAGAGGUGAAAUUCGUAGAUAUUAGGAAGAACACCAGUGGCGAAGGCGGCCAACUGGCCCGAUACUGACGCUCAUGUGCGAAAGCGUGGGGAGCAAACAGG